rnacentral:lncRNA from 1 species
UGACUUUAUUUGUUAUUUUUCAUGCAUUUACUAAUUAUUUUGAGCUAUAAGACCCUAAAAUUGAAAAGCAUUUCAAAUGAACUCUGAAAAGGUUGAAAGUUGGCAUGGUAUCAUCAUUUCAUCCACAUAGCAUGUGCAAGAAAGUUGAGAGGGUCCCUGCAAAAAAUGGAUGCACUUCGUGUACAAAACGGACAAUCUCUUUCAAAGUAUCAGGAUUUCAUACGGAAACUCGUCUGUUACAAAGGGAUUUCAUUUUUUUAAACUUAUUUGAACUCCUGACUUUUUGUGUGUUCAAAAUGCACCAUUCAAAGCCACAUCAUCAUUUUUCAAUCCUUUCUGACUUCAUUUGUUAUUUUCAUGCAUUUACUAAUUAUUUUGAGCUAUAAGACCACAAUAUUUGAAAGCAUUUCAAAUGAACUCUGAAAAGGUUGAAAGUUGGCAUGGUAUCAUCAUUUCAUCCACAUAGCAUGUGAAAGAAAGUUGAGAGGGUUACGGCAAAAACUGGAUGCACUUCGUGUACAAAACGGACAAUCUCUUUCAAAGUAUCAGGAUUUCAUACGGAAACU